GCUGGCCUGGGCUGGGCGAGGUAAUUGACGCGCUGGCGCCCUGUCAGCACCGCCUGUUCGACCUCGGCGGCGAACU
rnacentral:tRNA from 1 species